GUCUACGGCCAUACCCACUGAACGCGCCCGAUCUCGUCUGAUCUCGGAAGCUAAGCAGGGUCGGGCCCGGUUAGUACUUGGAUGGGAGACCGCCUGGGAAUACCGGGUGCUGUAGGCU
rnacentral:rRNA from 1 species